GGAAUGUAGCUCAGUGGUAGAGUGCAUGCCUGACAUGCAUGGGGCCCUAGGUUCAAUCCCUAGCACUUCCA